rnacentral:rRNA from 1 species
UACGUAGGGGGCAAGCGUUGUCCGGAUUUAUUGGGCGUAAAGCGCUCGCAGGUGGUUCGUCGCGUCGUGCGUGAAAGACCCCGGCUCAACUGGGGGAGGUCGUGCGAUACGGGCGAGCUGGAGGCCAGUAGGGGGAUGCGGAAUUCCGGGUGUAGUGGUGGAAUGCGUAGAGAUCCGGAGGAACACCAGCGGCGAAGGCGGCAUCCUGGACUGGGCCUGACACUCAUGAGCGAAAGCGUGGGGAGCGAUCCGG